rnacentral:rRNA from 1 species
UACGUAGGGUGCGAGCGUUGUCCGGAAUUAUUGGGCGUAAAGAGCUUGUAGGCGGUUUGUCGCGUCUGCUGUGAAAAUCCGGGGCUCAACCCCGGACUUGCAGUGGGUACGGGCAGGCUAGAGUGUGGUAGGGGAGACUGGAAUUCCUGGUGUAGCGGUGGAAUGCGCAGAUAUCAGGAGGAACACCGAUGGCGAAGGCAGAUCUCUGGGCCGUAACUGACGCUGAGGAGCGAAAGCAUGGGGAGCGAACAGG